ACAUGCCUACAACAUAGCGUUAAUGCACCGGAUCCCAUUAGAACUCCGUAGUUAAGCGCACUCAGGCUAGAGUAGUACUGGGAUGGGUGAUCGCCUGGAAAGUCCUAGUGUUUUACAUGCC
rnacentral:rRNA from 1 species